UCUCAGCCACCCGUCCCCGGCGUGCGAGCAGCUUCUUUCUUGCACCAGAAGACGCCCACAGCACGCCGUGAACGCCGCGGCAUAUAAAUGAACGCGCGCUCACACACACGUUAAGACAAACCCUAUCGGCAACUGCCCACAUCCCUUCCCCCUUCCUUGCCCCACUUGUCAAUGCGACACGAGCACUCGCCAUUGCAGCCUUCACAGAAGCUCCCUCCGCUGGCUGCUCUCCCCCUCACCUUCGCCGACUCUAUCCUUCUUUCUCUGCAGUAUCCAUGACCAGAAUGCCCAUCAAGGCCGUUGUCACCGACCUCGAUGGCACGCUGCUCAACCCGCAGCACUGCAUCAGCAACUACACCGCCGAAGUCCUGAAAAAGAUCAAGGAAAAGGGCAUCUGCUUUGUCGUGGCCACCGGUCGCCCGUAUGCGGAGGUCUUCAGCAGGAUUCGCCAUUGCCACCUGGCGCCGGACUACAUUAUCACCAGCAACGGCGCCCGCAUCCACGAUGGCGCGUUCAACGUCGUGCGUGAGCACAACAUUCGGCCGGAGCUCGUGGAGUCGCUCGCGCGGAUGCGCACGGUCAAGGACCCUGCGACUGGCGCCGAGCUCCCGAAAAAGUUCACCACGAACAUCUACCGCGGGAUAGAGUGGCUGACCGACAAGAGCAUCCCAGAGGUGAACAAAGCCUUUCACAUGGACUUCCAGUGCACAGACCUUCGUGAGCGCUUCUACGAGCUGCAGGCAUCGGAGCUCGGUGAGGUGCAUGAGAUCUGGUUCGCUGGAGACCACGACGAGCUCGUGCUGCUGGAUAGUGCGCUCCGAGAGAAGUACCCAGGCGACCUGUGCUGCACCUUUUCCCUUCCCUACCUACUGGACUGUGUACCGGCCGGCGUCAAUAAGGGCAGUGGUGUGCGGGAGGUGGCAGAGGUGCUGGGGUUGGCGCUGGACGAGGUGGCCUGCUUCGGCGACGGCAUGAACGACGAGUCGAUGCUGCAGGUGACCUCGGCAUCCUUUAUUAUGGCAAAUGGUCAGCAACGUUUGAAGGACGCCGUGCCGCACGCGCAGAUCAUCGGCAGCAACGCCGACGAUGGUGUGGCCAAGAAGCUGGAGGAGAUCUUUUUCUCGUCCUAGAUGCGAUCAUCUGCCUGCCAGGUAAAUUUAUCCACAGGGGUGUGGAGGCGACAGCACACCGCGCAGAAGAAGAGAGAAAAGGGGGAGGAGCUCACAGGUAUUGUCAAAAGAUCAGACGAGGGAGUCUAUCGGCCCUCUUGGCACCUACAUGCUGCCACAGUCUGCCGGAUAGGCUAUGCAGAGGGUCGUGUGUCUGCGUUCAUCUCUUUCCACCCCUCUCCGUCAUGCCCUGAUCCCGUUUCCUCUCUCUCUUCAUCGCAUUUUAUUGAGGCUG
rnacentral:misc_RNA from 1 species